rnacentral:rRNA from 1 species
GACGAACGCUGGCGGUGUGCUUAACGCAUGCAAGUCGAACGGUAAGGCCCUUUCGGGGGUACACGAGUGGCGAACGGGUGAGUAACACGUGAGUAACCUGCCCUCAUCUCUGGGAUAACAGUCGGAAACGGUUGCUAAUACUGGAUAUGAGCUUGCAAGGCAUCUUGUGGGUUGGAAAGAUUUUUUUUGGUUGGGGAUGGACUCGCGGCCUAUCAGCUUGUUGGUGAGGUAGUGGCUCACCAAGGCUUCGACGGGUAGCCGGCCUGAGAGGGCGACCGGCCACAUUGGGACUGAGAUACGGCCCCAACUCCUACGGGAGGCAGCAGUGGGGAAUAUUGCACAAUGGACGGAAGUCUGAUGCAGCAACGCCGCGUGCGGGAUGACGGCCUUCGGGUUGUAAACCGCUUUCAAUUGUGACGAAGCUUUUUUGUGACGGUAGCAGUAGAAGAAGCACCGGCUAACUACGUG